GAGCAUGGAAAUUAGUUUGCUUGCGACGUGCCCAUAAAAAGAGAACUGUAUUGGAGAGAACUCCGGUUUUCGUGAUUGUUUAAAUCGUGCAUCAAUAAUUGUCAUUUCGCCUGUGUGCACAUGGAAUUGCAUCAGAAGAUCCAGUCUUCCAUAUGUUUCAAACCCUUACAGUCUUUAAUUUUCUGUCAUUUGCCGACGAUUUAGAAGCUUUCAGAUUAUCAUCGAGCAGACGAAGAAGAUCAGGGGCGUACAUUUUACUUGGGACACACAUUGUAGUCAUGAUAUAGAGACAAAUAAAAUUACUGUGUCAAUAGUUGAAAGCUGAGUGGAAAUUGGAGACACGAUAAAUUGGCGUGAUAACUGAAACCAGAAUGUAUCCAGACAGUAGGUUAAAUUUAUUAACUGCUUCAAAUAUGCAAAGGUCUAAUAACUUGGCAAAUACAACAAAUUUUAAUUUGGGAAAUACGACAAGUCAUGACGGAAAUGGCCUUUAUACUCGUGGCAGAAUGGCAGCAAGUGGAUUCAGCAGUUCAGAAUGGACAUCUUCUCAGGCCGCAGUUGGCAACUUCUGUUCUCAUCCAGCUGCACAUGUAGGGUCUGAAGCUGAACAUGUGCCUCAUUGUGGAAAUGGAGUAGGUGGUGGAAGGGCCAAUCAGUUUGCUGAUGGUGGAAGACGAUCAUGUAAACGGAAAAUUUUUGAAGGCAUAUCAGGACAUUCUGCUUACGAUGGCCCUUCACAUUCUUUUAGUAGGCAAAGGAAUAGUUUAACAAGUUUCACAGUUCCUGCAAGGCAUGAAAUAGGCAGUGUAUCAAGUUUUUCUACCCCUGCAGGGACACCCGCUAGUGCUCAACAUCGGGAAGAUCCAGGCAUGCCUAGGCCGGGUCUUAUGGGAGGCUCAGGCAUGGCUCCAGGCUAUAGGAGUAAUGCUUUAUCUGUAAUUGGGACAAUAGAUGGUCCUCAAAGAAGUGUUAGGAACAGAUCAAAUCAAACAUUUCAUGAAGAGCAAAAUCUACCUUAUUUGCGACUGCCAGGCAAUUAUACAAGGCAUGUGCAUCCAAGAAGUUCUCCAGCUGAGCAGUCAAACAUGGAUAGGACAAAUAUCAAUUCUAGUAUUAUUUUGCAUGAACAGUGCCACUUUCCAACUUCAUCUCAAUUCGAGAGGAGCAUAGUUCCCAAUAACCAGAAUGAAAAUAUGUCAUCAAUUGGCAGUCAGUUUACCUUCAAUGCUACUGGAAGGGAAAGGCCGUCUUCUUUGCAUAUGGAGGUUAGCUCAAGCAGCAUGAUAUCUGCAGUACCAAAUCAAGCAUGGCCUGUGUCAGGUGCUGACAGAAGGACAUCAAACAAUAAUUCUUCAAGCUGGGCACCAGUAACUAGAAACUUAAAUGGUGUUCCAUAUACAGAUCAAAUGUUCAACAAUCCAAUACUCAGUUCAAGAGCACCAGUGCCACAGCACCUCCCACAAAAUCUACACAUGCAAGUCCCUAGGGCUAAUUCUGGUUUUGCACAAGGAUUGAUGUCUUCAUCGAGGUCUGGUCCAAGCAAUCAUCAUGUCCGUGCAACUGGGGCUAUUUCGUUUAAUCCAGUGAAUAUGGUUAUAAACCAUGAAACAGGCUCACAAGUUCCUCACUAUUUUAAUUCAUCAUGGAUGGAACAUAAUGGCAGUCGCAAUGGUAGACCUCUUACAAGAAGUAUUUUGGAUAUUCCAUUAGAAAGAUUCCAAGCUCUGCAGAAUGAGAAUGAAAGACAUAAUAGAAUGAUACCUGAGAUAUGCUGAUGCGGAUUUAAGGAUUCAGAGAUAAGUAUCUUCAGUUGAUUCAGCAUGAGUUUCAGUGCUCCGGAAGGUGAUUUGAUCGAGUUAUGAGGUCCGGUGUGAUGAUUGGUUAUGUAUUGCAGAGUUGUGCUUUUUGGUUUGUAUUGCUCUGAAAUUGAUUCAUUAUGUUGAGCGGAUUUGGGAGAGUGUUUGGGACGUUCAUGUGUGGCCUCAGUCCAAGUGGUUCAUGAUUUGAAACUUCACAAGCGUAUCUAUUAGAUUGUCAGUAAGUUAUGUUGGUAUUCUUGAGCUCCGGUAGAAAAAUGAUGAUGAUUCUAGUAAUCCAAGUUGUUGCGGUGGAGUUCACGUUGCUUGUUGAUGUUUCUAGACCAUGUUCUAUCCGUGUUGCUGGUCCGCAUUGAUCGUUGUGCGUGUUAUUGAAGAUUUUCUUGGUCUGCUGGUAUUCUUCGUGUUAUACGACUUUCUGGCCGACCCGAUGAUUCUUGCGUGUUGCGGAUGAUCUUGGCGAGAUAUUCGAUGGUGUUGCAUGCUCAAGGUUUUGAUUUAGGUCCAUGCUAUGUCCUUGCCGACAUUGUAUUGGUCUGCAUAUUGAUUUAUGUAUCGUGUAAUGUAAUUUUGUAAUUAGGUCUAAUGAGUUGACCCGACCUUGAAAUAGAGGUUGAUGAUUUGUAUAAGUAAGUGUAAUAAUCAUGUAAGUUGUAUGUCUGCGUUCUUUGAGCGUGUUGUAUGUGCGAACAAGCAUUUAAUCUUUCGGAAGAGUGAUGAAGUGAAGAAGAGAGUUGUAGAGCAGACAGUGUGCUUAAACAGAACUGUGAUCAUGCAUUUGAAGACACUAUUCUUUUAGUUCAUGUAAUCCAGAUUGGUGUCCAAUCUUUGUAAGGCAGUGAGUCUUCCUUUGUAGCCCUUUGUUGUUUUGAGCAGUGAGCUCUAGGCAGUGUGCCUGAAUGCAUGUGCAUUACCCAUUGUAAUAUUUACAUAUACUACUGCAGAGUAUCAUCAUAUUGUGGGUAGGUUCCCAUCGUGGUUUUUCCUUUAAUCGGGUUUUCCAUGUCAAAAUCUGUGUGUUAUGGGUACUGUUAUCUUUGUUCUUGUUGUUAACGAUCAUAUCUGAAGUUGUGGUUAAUUUGCUUAAGUUUGGUGAAAACUGAUUCACCCCCCCCUCUCAGUUUUCCAUCAUUGUUGCUGCCAACAUGUCUCUACUUAUGUUACUAGAAAUGAGAAACAAAAGCUGCAAUGACAAUAGUAAUGUGACAAGAAAUAGGAUACUUAAGAGGUUGCUAUAAGCAUGCCUUCUCAAAACUUGAGAUUUAUAUUAACUAAAAAAAUUAUUCCAAUAACUAUAUAUUUAAACUCCAAAAAAAAUUUACUUGUGAAAAUUAAAAAUAUCCAACUAUCCGCUAUUUUAUUAUUUUUAAUUUUAAAUAAAGCAUAUUUCACAUACUAAAAGAUUAUAAAUAGAAAAAUCUCAAAAUAUUAUUUGGAAAAAGUAAGGAUUUUUUCUUUGCUAUAUUACUUGGGUUAGGUACCUAGAAGCCGCAAAAAAGAGCAUUCAAUGUAGAUAUUGGUAGCAUGUAGUUCAUUAGUCCCAUUCUAUAAAGAUAUAUCCAUCUAGAAUCUAGAUAUUAUCUGACAACAAAUAGUAGAAAAAAUCCCUAAGCAGCAUAGUUGAUGAGAAGGUUGAUCAAGACUAUAACAGUCAGAAUGACAUCAAUACAAAAACAUAUCAAGCCACAACAUUCUAGAAAUAGGAAAUUAAUUUAAUUAACCCAUGCUAAGCUUAGAUUAGUAGUUCCAAGUCUUCCAACUACCAGCAACAGGACAUCCGAUAGAGACGAACCCACCAAUAACCAAAACCAAAACUGGAAGCAUUCAUAGUAGAAGACGCAAAUUACUAUAGCCUCAACCACAGAGUCAUGAAAGGAAAAUUAUGUAGGCAUCGUUGCUGCCCUUAAUCAUGCUUACAUUAAAGACAUUUUCCACCUUUUGUAGAUGGAGAAACCUGAAUUGCCUUAUCAACAUCCUCGUUGUCAUAGCAAUUAGAAAGUAUUGGUUUAACAUAAAAAUGUAGGGAAACAUGUCAAUUGUAAUAACUUGGUAAUUACAUCGAUGCCUUGCUACAUAUGCUCUUGAUGGUGCUUCAUGGCAUGGAGAUGGUGCAAGGAAUAAUUGAAAUAUGCUUUGACGUGGUGCACAACAUCCUUUGUUAUACCCAUCACAUUCAAAAGCAUUGUAGUAUAGCUCAGGGACUAGGCCAUGUCGAAAUAUUUAUCUGCCCACACAUAUGAUUUGGAUCCAACAAGAAGCUGGUCAUGGCUGCUCUCAUACCUAUGCAAGGUUCACCAUCAUUUUCCUUGGUCAACUCCCAAAUUGUAGUCUCCGAUUUUUAAUCUCCUACUUGAGAAAGGAAUUAUCCUUGUUGCUGUGGCACCUUUUGCUUCCCUUUCACCAUCAGCUCGUCGCACUAUUCCCUAUCCUAGGCUUAAUAGGUCACCUCUUACCCCUCUACAACUCCUUGGAAGGUGUCAUCGACUUUAACACUAUGAUCAUUUAGCUGAGAGAAACUUUGAAAAGAAGCUAUGCAACCAAUAAUUAUAUGAAUGAAAUACACUCACCGCCAUCUCAACAUAAUUGUUCCAGCCCAUUUUGUACUUAUAAUCUGGUCUAGCAUCAAACUUGGUGUAUGCUACCUUGCCUUAUUGUUAGUAUCUCCAUACCCUUGAUAGCCCAUAAUCAGGUCAAAAUAAGCAAGUUAAUUUAGAACAAAAUGAAAAAUCAACUUAAACUUCAAAACAAUAUUAUAAACAUUUAUAUCGAUAUGUAAAAAUUCAAGUUCUUAUUAUAAAAUCAUGGAGACCUAAGCUUUCUUUUAUAAAUGCAGCCAUACUUUUUGAAAAGUCUGUAGCAAGUUGCAAUUGAAAAAAUAUUCACAAAAUUUAUAGAGUUUAUGACAUAAAAUUUGUAGAGUUUGUAGGUUUCUUUAUUUGUUUUAAACUUUUUUGAUGUUUCUUGCAUUGGGUUUGCCCAAGGCAUGGGAGUUACCCACAUGUAUCCAAGAGUAUAGGGUCGUGCCCUAGAUAAACCCAGGGUAGAUCCAUACAUGGACUAUGACUUGUUGUGUCCAAUAUGGUGAUGUUGAUCUUAAUUGAAGAACCCAAAGACUAAUAUGCCCUAGAUGCUAUAAUGUGCAUCAUUGCAUAGGGUUACGAGUCAUUGGCUUAUGUCUACCUUAACUCUUAUUAAGUGAUAUGAUCAUUAUUGUAUUCUUAUUUAGAUGGUGUUAUAUUUAGGUAUCCAAGUUGGCUUGGGUGAAAUCCAGGGCAUAAGUACGGUAUAUAUAUAGGAGCUAGUGUCUAGUUUAUUAUCACCAUAUUGAGUAUUGUGUUCUUAUUGAAGAUUAUAGGAGGUAUCCCCUUUAAGCAGAUCAGGAAGUUGCUCCCUCAAAGUGGCAUAUUAUUAUUAAAUAUUUGUAUCAUAUUUCCAACUAUAUUAUUUAAUUGUGCAAGUUGUUUUAUUACAAGUGGUAUCAAAGUAUGAACUUAGCACCAUGAAGGCAACAAACAUGACUAUUUUUUCUUUAUGUUAUAGGUCAUUUUGGUGAUCUAUUUGGUUUUGAAAGAGUUUUUCAAGGCAAUAUUGAAUCCACUAUAGUAUAGAUUUGAGGUCAUUUGGAGCGAGUAGUUGCAAAAUUAGGGUUUCCACAAAAUUUUCUCCCAAGGCAAAAAAUUAGUGAAUUUUCCCCUAUAUUCUAUAAGAUUGAACAAGGACACAUUGAUCCACUUAUAGUACUCAUUUGGAGGCAUUUGGACUUGUUUGCAAUACGCUAUUACAAAUUGGGUUUUCCAUCAAGUUUACCCUUAGCAAAUCAAUGACAUUCUUGGAGAUCUUUUAUGGGAAGUGAGAUCUAGGCCUUGCUAAGUUACAAUAUAAAUUUCAUAUUGAUUGGAUUUGUUAUUUGUAAUUUAUUUUCUUGCACCAUCGCAGUGGCUUCAACAAGAGGCGAGGUAAGGAAUCUUGUUACUCUUGGGAGGACUAAGUUACAAAGAGGACCCAUUAGUAGAGGAGAGGGAUAUUGUAACCUUGGAUAAUGUAAGGGUAGAGAUCAAAGUGAAGGAAAAAUCUUGACAAGGAUGGAUGCAAAGAAGAUCACAAGGCAAUGGUUGGACAAAGAGUUUUUAGACAAGGUUCUAGAGAUUCCUAGCGGUAUGAGAACAGCGUCUACAAGAAACAUUGGAUUCCUUGAUCCCCACGUGUAGGGUACUUGCGAUGGUAGGGCCAUGCCCUAUGUGAACACAGGUGGAACUGUCCUUGGAGCAGGACUUGUCCUUUCUGGUAUAGGUAUGGGGGCCUAACUAAAGAACUUGGUAACUUAUAUCAUCAUAAAAAGUGUAUUUAUCAUUCACUAAGUUGUACCCUAAGUAUCUAUUGGGAUCAAACCUAGUCGUAUGAGAGCACCAAAUGCCUACAAGAUUGAAGUACAAGAAGCAUUGGAUUCUGCAAUCCCUCUAUCUACCUUUGUGCAUGUUGUUCAUGGUCUUGGAUUUUAAAAGAAGCAUCGGAUUCUGCAAUAUUUCUAUCUACCUUGGUGCAUGCUGGUCAUGGUCUUGGAUAGCAGCUGAAUCCAAUUCACUUGACCUUUGUAGUUAAUCUUUGUAGGUGUACUUCAAAAUUAGGAAUUUUAAAGGCUUUUGAGCCAUCAUAGCUUCAAGGGGAUUAUAUAUUUGCUACUUGACAGAAGUCUUAAGUUAACAUUGAUGUUCGUUAGUUUGAAGAAAGAUUGAUUUGAUAUAAGGAAUUUGAAUUUUUUAAACAUUCUUCUCUUUCAACUAUUUCACUAUUGGGUAGAAAAUUAAUCAUGAAUUGGUGGGAGGCAUUACCAGACGUGUGAAUAUUGUUAAGAACUGUAUAGAACUUAAAACCAUCUCAGGGAAAUACCUCAGAAUAACUCUAUUUCAUUAAACAUUAUGACUACCAGUGUAUUAAAUGGUAGUAGUUGCACAAAAUGCCUAGCUGGUCUAUCCAAGAUUAAAUUGGAAAUCGCAAUGCGGAGCACAAUUGCCGCCUAACUUGAGCCAUAUGCCCUACAAGGCACAGAAUUUCUAACAUUCAACAUUGUUGGUGAUUUCUGUGGAUGUGUGUCCCAAAUAGAUGUGUCAAAUAUCAUCCUGAAGAAUGUAAGAAGAAACUGGCUAAUCAGGACAAAUGUUCAAUACCAAAAUUCAUCAAAGGAAGCAGUUUCACAGUCUUUGUUGCCCAACUGAACUGUCCUUGCAAAAUGGUGCCACAUAAUAGCAACUUGAAAAUGGUCUCAAGUUAAACUUAGUAAUUGGCUUGACUUUCAGAUGGCCACAAUACACUCAAACAAAGGGGGUUGUCAGAUUUACCGUAGUGGUGGGAUGUAGAAGCACUCUGCCAUCCCUGACAAUGGUAAAAUACUAAAAUUAACCCUUAACAACAAAUCUUAUACACCUCUUUCUCUUACAGCUCAAGACAAACCUGUAUCGCAUUUUUUACCUUUUCAUGGUGAAAAGAUGAUAAUCAAAAUAAAUUGGUCUUUACGGAUGUGGCUAUAUAUUUCACCAGGCAAACACACUACAUCCACAACCUGACACCACUAGCUGGCCAAGAGCACAAAGUAAUUUGUGAUGUCUUUCUCAAUAAGUUGAUAUAUGGGAAUGACAUGGAAUCCGUGAACUGGUAGCUCAGCGAGUCAUUCGCACCAGUCACCAUGGUAGGAAAAAUCUUUCUCACGAUUGAUUGACGUGGCAAACCAAAAAUUCCUAAUUAGUCAGUGAAACCUUUAGAGUUUUUGAAACAAAAAAAACAAAAAUGGAGAAGAAAAUACUUUUUUCUAAAUAAAUUUCGUGGAACAAAAAGAGUGUAAGACAUGAAAUAUGUAUCUUUUUAAUUAAUUUUGAGCUUGCUAAUUAUAUUAAAUGGUACUUUACUAUAUUGUCCUUUAUGUUUGCAAGUUCAUAAUUUGAACCUAGAAAUCAAUUACAAAGUACAAAAUACAAAUUCAACCUCCAAAUUAACAAAAUACAGAGAUAACCAAUAGAGCUAUUUACUACAAUUUACUAGGGGGCUGCAGAUCAUGAUGCUGAAGUUCUAAGGUCCAGGCUUGAUUGAUCUCAUGUUCAUCAUUAACUUUCAUUGAAUAUAGCAAGGUUCUCAUCAUUUACAAUCCAUUCUGAAUCUGAAUCAAUAUCGUCAAGGGCAAUUGAUUGACUAUCUUUGAUAGCUAUUGAUAUAAUCCCAUUGAUGGUUAAGUUCAUUGCAUAUAUGGAAUGAGUAAGCACAUCAUGCAAUAAAUUCAAUAUUAUUUGAAAUUUGCAAGUUGCAACAAAUAUAAUAAUUAUAAUAUAAUCAAAAGUAAUUAUGACCUUGAAUUGUCUUGUGCCAAAGACAGUUUAUGGUGAACUAAUAUGUCAUUCUUCUACUUUUGAGUCAAAGGAUUACCUUUCUUGGAAUGUAUAUGUUAAAACAUAUUUCAUGGUUGGUCCAAUGUGUGCACAUCCAUUGAUCGUAUGUUUUUGGCUUCCUUGCUAUAAAACAAAAAAGUUGAUUGCACUGACAAAAACCAAAAUUUAUCAAGAUUCUAUCAUCUAUGAUUUAUUUAAUAUCUAUAAUGUAUUGUGAACUUCUAAGUUCAAACUACCAAAUAUUUAUUAAACUAAUCGAUAUUUAUAAUUAUUAAACUACUUAAUAAUGAAUAUAUUAUUUUAUUAUACAUAUGUGAUUUGUCUUCCCUGCAAUUCUUAUGUCUUCUUCAACACUAAAUCCUCAUUAUUUCUGAUUCUAGAAUCUUUUUAUUUAUCUUCUUUUCUGUAUUUAGAAAAUCCUUACAGCAGUCAGCAAAAACUGAGACAUUUAUGACAUCCACCACCAUCCCACCCUUAUCACUUCCUCUGCUCUCCACUAAGCCAGAGGUGUCCGUGAUGUAUGAAUUAAGAAAUAUCUGAUUAGCACCUUCCUAAUGUUAUGAUAUGGGAGUGUUCACUAAGCAACCAAUAACAAUAAUAAUUAUAGCCUAUUUUAAUACUCUAUUCAUAUUGUGCCUCCAAUACAAUACCUUGUAAAUAUUCCUUAUUUUUCCAAGAUCAACCAUUGUACAUGACAUCAUGUUGUCUAAGGCUUUGACACAAAUCAAAAUUGUUGUCAUGACAUUGAGAAACUUUGUUUGUCUUGGGUUCUCAGCAUCCCUGGGAUGGGCAUGGAAUGCCUAGGCAUCCUCUGACCAUCUCAGGGAUGUCAGGGAGUCCCCUUAAUGCCUCUUGCAGGGGGACGCCCCCAGGAUGCACUCUGCUUUGGCGGGGACAUCUUGAGGAUCUACCCUCCUGCAGGUGACAGCGGUGGUGGAGGAAUGAAAUGGCACUUUUUUGGGGGGGUGAUUGGUUCCUGUGGGACACUGAUAUAAGGUGAUGCAAAGACAUGUUUUUGGUUAGUGAAGGCAUUUAGGUUGUAACGGUGGAGCAAAGCACUUUAAAAUAUGGAUCCAGAAUAAAUAUUUUUGUCUGAAAUGGAAUACUUAAUCUUCCAACAAUGUUACCAUCUGGCUUUGUUAACUUCUUUUUAUUAUACUAAUAUUUUAAGUUUUAGCUUACAGAUUUUUUAGAAACACCAUGUUUUAUAUGAGAGGACUGUUAGUCAUUUGGGGAGUAAAUUACUAAAGGAACUACAAUAAGUAACAAUUAAAGAUCUCCUUGUGUACAAAACUGACAGAUAUAUCCAAAUUGCCAUCAUGGUUUUCAAUUUUUCUCUGUUGGUAUCAUGUGAACUCAUUUUAAGUCGAUGACAAUUCCACCGGCUUGCCUGGACACAUCAGGUGGUGACUUUCAUAGAGGGCUGAAUCGCAUACAUAAAAACAUAUAUAAAUAACUACAAAAUUUUCUUCUUCUCGAACUCCUGAAAAAAUUUCUCAGAGAGUCGCUGUUGAUAGAAAGGCUAUUGAUGAUAGACAUUGUCAAGACAGAUCUUUGGUGCAGGUAAAUAAUUGUGUUGCAAUUAUCGGGAACAGCUAGUGUUUUAUAUUGGUAAGCUAGCAGUCUGAGGUAUGUUAUCUUUACAAAGUGUUAUAUCUUUUAACAUCCAUUCUUUAACACAUUGCCUCUUUAAAUUUGUAUUUUUUUGUAAACAGCAUCCAUACAUUUCUUUCACAUCUAAUCAGAUCUAAAGCAAAAGAACAAUUUAUUUCUCAGGAUGAAAGCACCAUUGUUGUGCUUGCUAUUUGUUGCCGGCUUAAGAUCAUGAAAUUCACGAAGAUGCUUCAAAUAUUGAAUUCAAACUGUCAAAUGCAGGGAAAAAGUGUCCUGGUCCAGAAA